GGGGGUGCAUUGGCAUUCGACGUGGGUACGGAAGGUGAAGACAGCGUGCCGCGGGUCCAGCGCCGCGUUACAAACGCCGGGAAAACACAGCUGCCAACGACAGCAACUACGGCCGUCUGGCCGUUGCAGCCUAAUUAGCUGCACGCCUGCGUUUGAGGCGCCUCAGUAGGGCGUAGGCGUCAACACAGAGGCUAGCGAACCGGAGGUCCCGGUCGGUGCGCGAAACUCAGGGACUCGCUUCCGAGAGGGCCCGUCUGUGGGCAUGCUCGGCGGUCAAACCCAAAUCCGCAGACUACGCACGUAGACGUCCCAUCAGAAGACUCGCGGACCCGGGUUCGACUCCCGGCGCCUCCA
rnacentral:tmRNA from 1 species